rnacentral:rRNA from 1 species
UACAGAGGUCCCAAGCGUUGUUCGGAUUCAUUGGGCGUAAAGAGCUCGUAGGCGGCUCAGUAAGUCGGGUGUGAAACCCUCAGGCUCAACCUGGGGACGCCACUCGAUACUGCUGUGGCUAGAGUCCAGUAGAGGAGUGUGGAAUUCCCGGUGUAGCGGUGAAAUGCGCAGAUAUCAGGAAGAACACCCGUGGCGAAGGCGGCUCUCUGGGACGGUACUGACGCUGAGACGCGAAAGCGUGGGGAGCGAACAGG